rnacentral:rRNA from 1 species
UACGAAGGGUGCAAGCGUUAGUCGGAAUUACUGGGCGUAAAGCGUGCGUAGGUGGUUUCUUAAGUCCGUUGUGAGAGCCCUGGGCUCAACCUGGGAACUGCAGUGGAUACUGAGAGGCUAGAGUGUGUCAGAGGAUGGUGGAAUUCCCGGUGUAGCGGUGAAAUGCGUAGAGAUCGGGAGGAACAUCAGUGGCGAAGGCGGCCAUCUGGGACAACACUGACGCUGAGGCACGAAAGCGUGGGGAGCAAACAGG